rnacentral:rRNA from 1 species
AACGUAGGUGGCAAGCGUUGUCCGGAAUUAUUGGGCGUAAAGGGCUCGUAGGCGGUUUGUCGCGUCGGGAGUGAAAUCCACUGGCUUAACUGGUGGCUUGCUUUCGAUACGGGCAGACUGGAGGUAUGCAGGGGAGAACGGAAUUCCUGGUGUAGCGGUGAAAUGCGCAGAUAUCAGGAGGAACACCGGUGGCGAAAGCGGCUCUCUGGGACGGUACUGACGCUGAGACGCGAAAGCGUGGGGAGCAAACAGG